GCCUGCUUUCUUUGCUUAUACUUAAUGUAUGUAAAUUAUCAUGGAACUUCCUGUUAAAUACUAUGAGUAGAAAUAGUCACCUCACUGUUGCAGCAGGAGAAACAGAGACCAUGAUAAUUAUGAAGAAUCUCCUGUAUUUAAUAUCUGUGUUGUCUUUGUUUCAGUGUGUGACAUGUCAGAUCUCCCUGACACAGCCUGGUGCUGUCACUGUGAAGCCAUCAGAGGUUCUUCAGUUGACCUGUAAAGUGACCGGAGCCUCCCUCACUGACAGCUCUAAAGUAUAUGCAGUUGACUGGGUCCGUCAGCUUGUGGGGAAAGGGCUGGAAUGGCUGGGAGGGAUAGCGUAUAAUGCUGACACAGCUUAUGCCCAGUCUUUGCAGGGACGCAUCACAGUAUCAAGAGACACAAAUAAAGGAGAAGUUUAUUUAAAACUCACUGGAAUGAAACCAGAGGAAACUGCUGUAUAUUACUGUGCUAGUUAUCCACAGUGGGAAAUAUAUUAUGAAAACAUGUAUAAAAACAUGUCCUGAUAGCUGAGUCAUUAU